UACGUAGGGUGCGAGCGUUGUCCGGAAUUAUUGGGCGUAAAGAGCUUGUAGGCGGUUUGUCGCGUCUGCUGUGAAAAUCCGGGGCUCAACCCCGGACUUGCAGUGGGUACGGGCAGACUAGAGUGUGGUAGGGGAGACUGGAAUUCCUGGUGUAGCGGUGGAAUGCGCAGAUAUCAGGAGGAACACCGAUGGCGAAGGCAGGUCUCUGGGCCACUACUGACGCUGAGAAGCGAAAGCAUGGGGAGCAAACAGG
rnacentral:rRNA from 1 species